rnacentral:rRNA from 1 species
AUACUGGUUGAUUCUGCCAGAGGCUACUGCCAUCAGAGUUCGAUUAAGCCAUGUUAGUUAAGGGGACCUUCCUUCGGGAAGGUAACCCGGCAGACGGCUCAGUAACACGUGGACAAUUUACCCUUGGGACCGGGAUAACCCCUGGGAAACUGGGGCUAAUACUGGAUAGAGCAUCGGCUGCUGGAAUGCGCGAUGCUCGAAAGCUGAGGCGCUCAAGGAUAGGUCUGCGGCUGAUUAGGUUGUUGUUGAUGUAACGGAUCAACAAGCCCGCGAUCGGUACGGGUUGUGAGAGCAAUAGCCCGGAGAUGGGUUCUGAGAGAAGAACCCAGGUCCUACGGGACGCAUCAGGCGCGAAAACUUUACAAUGUGCGAAAGCGCGAUAAGGGAACUCUGAGUGCCUCCUAAGGAGGCUGUUCAGGUGUCUAAAAAGCAUCUGGAGUAAGGGCUGGGCAAGACCGGUGCCAGCCGCCGCGGUAACACCGGCAGCUCAAGUGGUAGCCAUGCUUAUUGGGUCUAAAGCGUCCGUAGCCGGCUGAGUAAGUUCCUUGGGAAAUUUGACCGCUUAACGGUUAAGCUAUCAGGGAAUACUGCUUGGCUUGGGACCGGGAGAGGUCAGAGGUACUCCAGGGGUAGGGGUGAAAUCUAUUAAUCCUUGGGGGACCACCGGUAGCGAAGGCGUCUGACCAGACCGGGUCCGACGGUGAGGGACGAAGGCUGGGGUCGCGAACCGGAUUAGAUACCCGGGUAGUCCCAGCUGUAAACGAUGCGGGCCAGGUGUUGGCAUUACUGCGAGUGAUGUCAGUGCCAAAGGGAAGCCGUUAAGCCCGCCAUCUGGGGAGUACGGUCGCAAGGCUGAAACUUAAAGGAAUUGGCGGGGGAGCAC